rnacentral:lncRNA from 1 species
UAUUAUCAUAUUAAUUUCUACUUUUCAUAUUGAAUAAUGGUAUUAAGCAUCUUUUUUAUGUGUUUAUUGCCUAUCUAUAUAUUUUGUGAACUGUCCAGAUCUUUUACUUAUUUUAUGUUGGAUUGUAUGUCUUUUUAAAUUUAUUUGUAGGAAUUUGUACAUAUUCUGAGUAAGAUUGAUGUUUGAACAUGGGAUGUCAGAUAUAGUCCUAUAUUAAACUCUUGUGAUGCAGUCAACUAUUCAGGCUAAAUACAUGAGGGUAUAACAAUAAUUAACUAUGUUUAAAAAUUUGCAGACUGGUGAGCUAACGUAUUAUAAACACACCAGCUGAAAUUUUCAUUAUUUCAAACGUAGAUCCAUAUAUAGGUUAUUUCCCUCUCUGAUUUAAGCUUAUAGGAGUGAUAUUUCUAUCCCGGAGAGCAGUAAAGCAAUUUUCUCUAAAACUGGUUAGUUGCCUUGGUCUCCUCAGACCUCCAAUAUCUUUCUAUUGUUUUGGGCCUCAAAACAGCCUUACCUGUUAACAAAGGAGGUAAUCCCAUACUGAAUUUAGGAAGAUAAUUUAUCAUUUUUGAUGAUUUCAUAACUUAUUUCCUUCUAAGAUGUUUCAUGAGUGGUGUUAUAAUGACUGUAUGCAAUCAGAAGUAACAUGACCAUUUUAUGAACUCAGCAUAAAGUGGUUAGAAAAUCAGCUUUAAGAGGAAAAUUGUUAUAGCUAGAGAUAACCCUGGCAAAGAAACUGUUAGGGAAAAUUAAAUUCCAUUGGAUACAGACAAUUUGGGUUAACAGCAUACCUAUCAUGAGGCCCCAUCUUCCCAGGGUGGAACAUGAACCUACAAUUGCUUGGUGUACUUUUUAAAUAUCUGGUAAAUACAUUUGAAAACCAUGUUAUUUAUUCUAUGUAAUGCCAAUUUAAAUUGCCGCAGCCUUCUUCAUCUUUCUCAAGUACCGUACAAUUUUAUAGGCGAAAAAGAAUAUUCUUUUUGAAGGAAAAAAAUGGCCACUGGCAAAGAGAUUGAACUAGCUUAGAAGAGGAUCAAAAAAAGAAAUAGGAAAAGACAUUAUUAUGAAAUUGAUUAUAAACCUCCAGGACAAUCUGUGUUGGAAGAACAAAAAUAUUUAUAAAUAUAAAGGUCUGCUCAUGAAAUACAGGAAGUCUGAAUACUUGCAUUUUUUCCCCCUCUGAUGUAUAGAAAAUAAACAGACAAGGUACUUUAUUUCCUUUUCAUCCUUUUUCAUAUGGAGAGUAAGGUAGAGUUUCUUUCCCAGGGCCCUCCUUGAAUUCCACCCUCUUUCUAAUCCUCCUCAUGGUUACUUGGUAACAAUCUCUGUCUUCCUGAAAUGGAGAUGAAACUAACUGAUGAGUAGCCAGGUAGUACAUAGAGUCUGAAUCACUGGUUUUGCAAAGAACAUGUAAAGUUCUGAGUGUUGAAUUAACUGAGUGUUUAAUUAACAUGUAAAGUUCUGAGUGUUGAAAUGAUUUAUGUAGGUGCUAGAAACCACACAGAUGAUUAACAGAAGUCCAGUGCUUAUAUCAACUCUUAGGGUAGCAAGAUCCAUGAGUUACUGAAUCCUGUCUUCUUGGUGUAGUAUCUAGCUCAGAACUGCAAAAGAGAAAAUGUUCCCUCUGUUCUGUAGUGAACAAUAAACUCUGUGCCCCACAUACAGGUGUUGGAACAAGACUAUUUCAUGGAUGAUUGUUGCUAAAAUCUUGUAAAUAAACAUCUAUUUUCUGAGUAUAAAAUCUUAUCACACUGCAAUAACCACUUAUUCAUUAUUGGAUCUUCAUGUAAUAAUCAGUGCAUAGUAGCCUGAACUGUAGCCUGAACUAUAUCUCCUCAGGGAAGAGUAAAAUUUUUAUUUGUGGGCGUUUAAUUCUUAUUUUGAAAACAUGACUUUGGGAAUAUGUAAUUUUUUUUUCAUGCAAUAAAAUUGGUGUCCAACAUAGUGAAAAAGUAAAUACUUUAGUUACUCAUACCUUUACCCUCCCCCCAUUCAUGUUUAAAGUUUCCAAAAUAAUCCUAAGAACAAUAUAUAAAAGAGAAAUACCAUAUGAUAUCACUUAUAUCUGGAAUCUAAUAUAUGGCACAAAUGAACCUUUCCACAGAAAGGAAAAUCCUGGACAUGGAGAACAGACUUGUGGUCGCCAAGGAGAAGGGGGAGGGAGUGGGAUGGACUGGGAAUUUGGGGUUAAUAGAUCCAAACUUUUGCCUUUGGAAUGGAUAAGCAAUGAGACCCUGCCAUAUAGCACUGGGAACUAUAUCUAGUCACUUAUGAUGGAGCAUGAUAAUGUGAGAAAAAAGAAUGUGUAUAUGUAUGCAUGACUGGGUCACUUUGUUGUAAAGUAGAAAAUUGACAGAACACUGUAAACCAGCUAUAAUGGAAAAAAUUAAAAUAAGAAAAAUAUAAAAAUUUAAAAAAGUAAGAAUGCUACUGUGUUUUCAGGGCUUCCUUAUUCUUUUUAAAUGUUAAUAUAUAAAAAUGCAUCAUUUUGAAUGUCUUACAUCUGUAUCAUAAUAUAUUUAUUUAAAAGCUCUUGAUAUCAGAUGUUUCCAUGUUAAUUGGAGAUACUGAUUUAUAGUUAAACCUUUCAUAUCUGAAUAAAUAGAGACUAGGGUAAUAAUCUGGAUAUAUAAAAUCAAGAGAGACCAUGGAUCAUUUACCUACUGUGGAAGGGCUGUUGCGCUCCAUCUGGUGGAUAAAAGAGAUGUUUUUUUACCCUGCUGAAGGAGCUAGAAGCAUGUGCAAAUAUAUCAUUGAUACCACAUAACAAUCCAGAAAACUAGUGAUCAACAUGGUCAGAGUGAGUAUAGAGUUGCCUAUAGAUACAAUUAUAUUUUGAUGUAUUAUAUAAAUAUAACCUACUUUUUUAAAGACAGAACAUUUAGGGGUUUACAUAGCUCCAAUAGCUAUCUUUACCCCUAGAUAUUAUAAUUUAUGAAAGCAGGAAUCAUAAGCCAUGUGCACUGUCAUUUUCCAUUUGAGAACAUUGUGGAAAAAUGUCCAUUUCCUAAAAGCUAGGAAUUAGGAACUUUGAGAAAAAUAAAUAAUAAAAAUUAAGUAUUUGAAAAUGCCUAGAGAAGAGAAAUAUAAUUUGAAAGCUAAACAAAUACUAAGGUAGUUCAAAAUAUAACAGGCACUAGUUAUAGUUCAUAUGACUUCCUGAACUGAAUAUGACUUACUGAUAUCCAAGUAGAAGAAGAUAUCUGGAAAACAGCUCAUGAAAGUAGAAAAAUCAGAUAUUACCACUUGACCAAGAGAAGGAAGUCAAAUGAUGUGCUUUACUGAGAAGUACAAAACCAGUUAUAUUAUAUUAACUCUUAUUUUUCAGUCUUCAACUCUUUGUAUGUCAUGUGUAUGUCAUAAACUGCUAGUUUACUGUUUUGGAUAUAUCCCUCACUUUCUUUACUAUCUUCAUGUGUGCUCAUGCAUUCUGCCUCAUCUUAAAUACCUAUUACAUUAUCUUACCUGUCAAAAUGAUGUCCAGCCUCUAAAAAACUAUCUCAAAUGAUAGUAAUUCUCUUAGGAUUUCUAUGAUAUGCUGUAACUGGUAAAGAUGGCCAUAAAUCUGUUGGCACUCCUCUCAUUGAGAGGUGAGUUCUCUGUGUCCUCCCUCUUUAAUUUCUCUGAGCUCAUGAACACUUUGAUCAAUAUAAUAUGAUAGAAGUAAUACUGUGUAAGUUUCUACAUCCAGGCCUUAAGAGAUCAGCAGUUUCUACUCUGAGAUUUGGAUUGUUACCUCUGAGUUAAGUCUAUUGCCAUGAAAUAUGUCUGACUGUCCUAAGACCACCAUGCUAUGAGUAAGCCAAAAUUACCUAUGUAGAUGGGUUGAAUGGAGAGAGAUGCUUGGUCAGCCCUUGCUAUUCCAGAUGUACCAUUACAGGCACCAGAUAAAUGAGUUAAGAGGCCAUAUUAGAGCAUUAUAUUCCCAGCUGAUAAGACAGAACAAAGAAACCCAGCCAAUAGCCAGAGUCUAGUUCUAAACAUGGUUACUUGUUGAGCUAUCCAGCCACAUCUAGCCAUCCGAGGAACCUCCAAAUAUUUAAGCUGCUCUAGCUAAGACCUCAGUCAUUAUUAAAAAAAAAAAAAAGACCUCAGUCAUUAUGGAACACAGCCAUCCCCACUAUACCCUGGCUAAAUCCUUAUUCACCAGUAAUCAUAAGUAUGAUUGAAUAUUUCUUGUUUUAUACCAGUAAUAUUUGAGGUGGAUUGCUAUGCAGCACUUCUUAAGUGGAACAUCCCACUAAUUGGAUGCACCCUACCUUGUUUUUGAGAGUUAAUAGUAAGCAUUAUAUGUUUAAUUCAGGAAUGUCAUAUUCUGCCUAUAUUAUAUUUAUAAAUUUGUCUUAAGCCCUCUAAUUUCAUUUUAAACUCUUCAAUGGUAAACAGUUGUAUUUGUUCAAACACCUAGCUUUUUUUUUUUAUUAAGGAAGUAUUCAAGAUAUAUCUAUUGAGAUAAAUGUCCUAAUUCUUAGUUCUCAGACUCUAUAGUUUCAGUAGUUAAAGAAAAAUACACUAUUAUGGGGUCUUAUGUUUUCAACCAAAUAAUCUAUGAUGUUAACUAAAAGUUGCAGGGAAAAUAAAGGUUAACUAUAAUAACAGUUUUUCCAGGCUAUACUAUAGAGAAAGAGGAAGAUUUAAUUCUUUGCAGAAGAAUUCAACUUAAAUUUGAAACAUUAUUUCCAGUAAAUAUCACUGAAUAGGCAAAACUAAAAUGGAAAGCUCUGACCUAAGUUACAAGGAAUGCAAGAAAAAAAAUCUUAAAAGUCAAAGAGUCCAGAUCUCAGCCUAAAUGAACAAUAUCCAAAGGCUGGUUCUUCAGGUUGGUGUGUGAGUGAUGUGUUAACAAGUGGUGAAUCAAAGUGCUAAAAUGACAGGCAACAUUGCUUGCUUCAGAGAACACUGAUAAUAGUCUGUUGAAUCUGAUGGCAUUCAAAGUAGCAAAUUCAAAAGCAAUUUCAAUAUGCCUCUAAGUGAUUAGAAAAAUACAUUUUAUGAUAAUGUACCCUAGGCAAAAGUCCAUUUAUUGAAUGAUCAAAACUCAAGCAGCUAAUUUGCCCACCCUGCAAAUAUAACAUCUUAUGAAAAACUCUUUUUGAAUACAUGAUGUAAUGAUUACUAGUCUCAAAAAAGAAUUUUUAUGUUGUAUAUGUAUUUUUUGUAGCUUUAUAAGAUGCUUAUUCAAGUACCACAUUUCUAAAAUAUUUCUUUCUUCUUUGUCAAAACAAGAUAUGUCUGUUUCUAAGCUUCUUUUUUUUCUCAUAAGACAUUGUAAGAAAAUAGCAAUUUAUUGUAAAGGUAUCCCCAGUAUAAGUCUAUUUUUAAAAAUUAUAAAUUAAAAACAUUUUCUAAGUUUCUCUUUGGUUAACAGUUUUAAAUUGUAUUCAUUAUAUUAUAAUUAUUUAUAUUUUCCAUUAUUCCUCUGAUUGGUUAUACAUUUAACAUUUUGUCCUUCAAAUAUCAUUGAUUACUAUGUGUUAGGUCGAUAAACUAGACUCUGGGAACAAAAAGAUUAAUAAUAUUACAGGAGAAAUGCAUCUCCCCACCCUGGGAUUUUUUUUUCCUAAGCAUAUCUGGGUCUCUCUUCUCACCUUUAAUCACUGUAGCUAAGAAGCAGGGAUGGCUUGUUUGAUAGCUAAAUUUGGAAUAGUAACUAGGAAUGCAUUAGCUGUACCCUUCUUUUGCUGUGUACAGCUGAAUUGUCCCCCAGAGUUACCAGUUCUCCUUGGCUAUGCCUCAGUUCUUGCCUGAGCAAUACUUCCAUGCUUCCAUGUAGUGUAGGCAAGUAUGGCCCUGGAGUGUUUGUGACAGGAUGAGUGUAUCUGCCUAAUUUUAGGGUUCACUUAUCAUGUCCAUUUGUCUCUUGCUGUAUGUUACAUCUCCCAACUUCGCCACUCUCAGUAAUAAGAGCAAUAGUUUAGCCACCAGUUUUACCAUUUGAUUCCCAGUGUUUUCAGAACCUGAAUGGAGAAAUGUAAGUGCUAUUUAUGGGGAACUUUCUCCAGGAUCCCAACAAAUAAAAAUGGUUCUUGCCUUUAUAAUCAAAUUGGGCAGACAUACACAAGAAUUAUAAAAGAAGUACACUGAUAUGUGUGUGGAGGCCUGGAGUACAGCAUACAUAACAUCCAGAGAGCCAUCAAGGUUUAUGUGGGAACUACAAUUACAAUAAGUUUGAUGGUGCUGGAAAUUAACAGGUAGGCGUCUAUAUAAGACUGGAGGUCUAGGUAGGGCCUUGUAUGCCACGUUGAGAAAUCUGCACUUUAUUUUGACAGGGAUGAUAAAAAACUGAAAGUUUUAAGCAUGGAAGUGACUUGAACAGGUUUGUUUUUCACAUCUCUUGGUGGUAUAUAUAAUGGAUUGAAUAUGGAUAAAAGUAGAGAUAGGGAGCCCAGUAAGUAUAGGCAAGAAGUAAUAAAUAUUUCUAUUAAUAAAUAAUAGUGGGGGGAAAGAUGGUGGCAGAGGAGUAGGAUGUGAGGCUCACCUACUCCCACAAUAUAUCAAAAACCCAUCUAUAUGUGGUAGUAUUUGCCCAGAAAACUUGCUGAAUGCUGACAAAAUACACCAGGAUUUUGAUAGAGCAAGAAAAACUUCAUGAAACUG